ACAGUCCAUGGGGUCCCAAGAGUUGGACAUGACUUAGCAAGUAAACCACCACCACCCACUUCCCCAGUUACAUACUGGACACCUUCCAACCCAUGCAGGGGUGGGGGGAAGCUCAUCUUCUGGUGUCUUUUUAUACUGUUUAUCGGGUUCUCGUGGCAAGAAUACUGGAGUGGGUUGCCAUUUCCUUCUCAUUUUGUAUCACAUUUUGUCCGAACUCUUCACCAUGACCCAUCCAUCUGGGGUAGCCCUGCGUAGCAUGAAUUAUGUAAGCCUCUUUGCCAUGACAAGGCUGUGACCCAUGAAGGGGUGUGUAAGUAUUUAUUGCAUCAUUAUUUGUAAUACUAAAAAGUUGGAGGCAGUGUUAAUGUAUGACAACAGGGGAUGAUUAAAUUCUGGUUCUUACACCAUGGAUUGCUAUGCAGCCACUAAAAGGAAUGAUGUAAAUUUCUCUGUACUGACGAAGGAAGAUGUUUAUACUGUAUCCUAUAAAAAAUAUACAUAAGAAUAUAUUUAGUGUGACUUCUUUUUUUGGUAAAACCUCUUCCAUUCUCCCAUAACUCCAAAUUAUCUAGAGAUCUAGUCCAUCUCUCUAUAUGUACACAGAGAAAAGUUUGUAAGGACAUAUAUCAAAAGGAUAACAGCGGCUUUCCUAGGGAGAGAACAUCCAACAUCUAGUGGAUUGAAUCUCUGUUAUUGUUCAUCUACUAUGAACAUCUAUUUUUAUCGUCAUUUUAGAAAAUGAAUGAAAUGGCUAAUUUAGGAAAAAGGAAAUAUGUGUUGGAAAGACAUCAGAGGCUCACAAAAUCAAUAGGAAACCGUAAAGUCAGACUCAUCGAAUCAGCCAGUCGGAACCGGAGCAAAUUUUCAUGGUGGCUGUGAAGAAUGGUUUCUGUCCUGAUGCGUGUGCUGCCAGGGAGGGUGUUCUCAGCUGGCCCAGCAUAGCCCCAGGCCCGUGUCUUCUCUGUACUGGCUCUGGCUUGGAAGACUCUCUCCUCCAGAUCCCACGGUGGGAGCCCAGAGCCUCGAUCUGCCUGCUCACCAAAACCACAUUCAGUGGAGAAGACGUGAUUCCUGAAAGUUUAUUACAAGAGAUUGGAUAUAGGCGACUUCACUGGUGGUCCAGUGGCGAAGACUCCAUGUUCCCUAUGCAAGUGGCCCGGGUUUGAUUGCUGAUCAAGGAGCUCAGAUCCCACAUCCUGAAACUAAAGACCCUGCACACCACAGCAAAGACAAAAUCCUGUGCCACCAGUAAGACCAGCACAGCCAAAUAAAUGAAUAAGUAAAAAAUA